UGACUUUUGACUGUUUUUUAACUCAGCUGCACGUGUGCUGACGAGGACCAGAAGGCAGGCGCAUAUUACACCGGUUUUAGAAUCACUGCAUUGGCUCCCUGUAUGUUUCAGGAUCGAUUUUAAGGUUCUCUUAAUAGUUUUUAAAUGUCUUAGGGGUCUUGGGCCUUCUUAUCUUUCUGAAUUGCUUUUACCUUAUGAACCCUCGCGGACCCUCAGGUCCUCCGACACCGGCCUGUUAUGUAUUCCCAGAGUUAAAACACGAACACACGGUGAGGCAUCUUUCCAGUUUUAUGGCCCCCGAUUGUGGAACAGCCUGCCGGAGGACCUGAGGGCCGCAGAGAACGUUGAUAUUUUUAAAAAUAGGCUCAA